rnacentral:rRNA from 1 species
UCCAGAGGGUGCGAGCGUUGUCCGGAAUCACUGGGCGUAAAGGGCGCGUAGGUGGCGACCCAAGUCGAUGGUGAAAGCUCGCCGCUCAACGGCGAGUCGGCCACCGAUACUGGGUUGCUCGAGCACUGUAGAGGCUAAUGGAAUUCCGGGUGUAGCGGUGGAAUGCGUAGAGAUCCGGAAGAACACCGGUGGCGAAGGCGGUUAGCUGGGCAGUUGCUGACACUGAGGCGCGACAGCGUGGGGAGCAAACAGG